rnacentral:rRNA from 1 species
UACGGAGGGUGCAAGCGUUAAUCGGAAUUACUGGGCGUAAAGCGCACGCAGGCGGUUGGAUAAGUUAGAUGUGAAAGCCCCGGGCUCAACCUGGGAAUUGCAUUUAAAACUGUCCAGCUAGAGUCUUGUAGAGGGGGGUAGAAUUCCAGGCGUAGCGGCGAAAUGCGUAGAGAUCUGGAGGAAUACCGGUGGCGAAGGCGGCCCCCUGGACAAAGACUGACGCUCAGGUGCGAAAGCGUGGGGAGCAAACAGG